rnacentral:rRNA from 1 species
GAGUUUGAUCGUGGCUCAGAUUGAACGCUGGCGGCAUGCCUUACACAUGCAAGUCGAACGGCAGCAUGAUCUAGCUUGCUAGAUUGAUGGCGAGUGGCGAACGGGUGAGUAAUACAUCGGAGCGUGCCCUGUAGUGGGGGAGUAACUAGUCGAAAGAUUAGCUAAUACCGCAUACGACCUGAGGGUGAAAGUGGGGGACCGCAAGGCCUCAUGCUAUAGGAGCGGCCGAUGUCUGAUUAGCUAGUUGGUGGGGUAAAGGGCCCACCAAGGCGACGAUCAGUAGCUGGUCUGAGAGGACGAUCAGCCACACUGGGACUGAGACACGGCCCAGACUCCUACGGGAGGCAGCAGUGGGGAAUUUUGGACAAUGGGCGAAAGCCUGAUCCAGCAAUGCCGCGUGUGUGAAGAAGGCCUCGG